AACGUCGAACACACCAAAUCAAUGUCCCAACAUCGCCGUCAGAAUAGAAUUCUAAACAAGAAGAAAAACUCGAAGCCUGGAAAGCUAAAAUUGAACUAAGAUCAGUCCAUAUCCGAACUGACGACGGAAUAAACUGAUUCCGGCGUAGGUGUCAUCGGAAAAAGCUCAAAAGAUCAAUAUGAAUGAAACAACCUUAAUAUCUGCCCGUGACCUUUUUUUUCCACUGUUUUCCGGCAGAUUUCGCCGUUCCCAUCGCGUACGAAAAACAGAGAGAACCUGACCGCGACAACAUUUCCCGGUGAUAUCUUGCCGGAGAUACCUUUCUCUCCGAUCUCACUGUUUCCCCUACGACGAUGCAGACAACGACGGAGGAAAUCGGAUCUGAACGGCAGCUGGAGGAUAAUGGUGUGGUUUGGUCGCUGGCAGCGUGGCGGCGCUGGUAUUGUUGUUGCCGCCGUUGGUAGCUCAGGUCGUUUGGUUGGUCACCGGCAGCGGUCCAGUUCGUAGGUGGGUGGCGGCGAUAGAGAGGAUGGUUCAGGGAGAGAGAAAGAGAGGGCUAGCCGGCGCUGAGCUGGCCGGCGUCGGCCAUGGAUGCCAACGGGGUCGUUGGUCGAUCGCCAGCGAAGCUUGUUGAGAGAGAGAGAGAGUGAGAGUCUAGAGAGAGAAGGAGAGAUUCGGUCCUUUUUUUUUUUUUGUGCUGAGGUCCUUUUUUGGUUCCUGUUUUUUUCCAA
rnacentral:lncRNA from 1 species